GACGAACCGUGCGAACGUUAUUCGGAAUCACUGGGCUUAAAGCGCGUGUAGGCGGGACGGCACGUCGGCCGCUAAAAUCCCCCGGCUUAACCGGGGAAGGGGCGCCGAUACGACCGCCCUGGAGGAACGUAGGGGGAGCUGGAACUUCCGGUGGAGCGGUGAAAUGCGUUGAGAUCGGAAGGAACGUCCGUGGCGAAAGCGAGCUCCUGGACGUUUUCUGACGCUGAGACGCGAAAGCCAGGGGAGCGAACGGG
rnacentral:rRNA from 1 species